UCUUAUUUUGUUGAGGAUGGAAUAACCAAAGCUCUGGAUACAUUGAAGAGAAUGAAGCCGAAAAUAAGACAUCAAUCAAAGAAACUAAAAGCAGCAUGGUGAUCUAAGCAAAUAGGAUGGAAUAACCCAAGCUCUGGUGGAAUUGUAGAGAAUCAAGCAGAAAAUAAGACAUCAAUCAAAGAAACUAAAAGCAGCAUGGGGAUCUAAGCAAAUAGUUUUGGUGGACACCAGCAUGGACCAAAAUUGGAUUUGAGAGUUGCAAACACAGUAAAAGAAGAACUUGCAAAUAGGCACUUCAUAGACCCUUACUGCUCUCACCCGGAUUGCCCUAAGCUGGUGUUUCGGCUUGAUAUUCUUGACAGCAAUGAACAUGCUUGGCAUCUUGACAGACCAAUACUAUUUCGAAAAGGAAGUAAACUGAACUUAAUGUGUGAAGGAUUUUUGCCAUGAAGAACCGGGGUAUUUAUACAGGUUCAUAAUUCAAAUUUACCAUUGAU